rnacentral:lncRNA from 1 species
GUUAGGCCCCUCAGAGUUUAGUUCCGGAGAGUAGGUAUCUGGGCAGGGCGAGCUCUCUGAGGACAGGGACUAGCUCCUUUUCUUUGUCUCUCCACAGGGUGGCACAGAGCCUGUAACUGUAAAGCCAUGUUGAUUGAAUAAAACCCUGCCCGGUGCCCCUGACCCCACCCUCAUCAUGGCAGAGGGAGGAUGAGGUCACCACCACUCUGGUCUCCUGGGUGCCUGGACUGGCCUCAGUGUUGCUGACAUCUCUGGGAUUCUCCUAAAUAACAAGAGCAGGACAAGGACAAGAAGGAAGGCACGCUUUGUUGAACACCUACUGUGUGCUGGCUGUUUGUACAUUUGAUCUCAUUUGGUCUUUAUCCUUCAAGGAAAACAGUAGCAUCUAGAUCUUGUCUGCAUGGUAAGGGAGGCCCACAGAACAUGAUUCGAGGGACCGCCCAAAGCCUGGGCUCUCCGACAGCAGUUCCAGAGGUCCCAGGCCCCAGGUCCUAGGUUUGUUGGCAGUGAGCUGGGGAAGAUGUUGACAUCCUGCCUGCCAGUCCUCCACUGAGGCACAGAGGAGCUGCUGGUGCGGGGCAGGAGAGUCUGUGUAGAAUGGUCCUGGAACCCAAGGUGGGAGGCAGAGCUGGGGCACUGGCAGAGGCAGGGCUGGGAAGCAAAGGUGUAGGGGGCAGACUGGGGUCACAUUUCCAGCUUCACAGUCCGUCCUGAACCUUCUCAGCAGGCCUGGCUUGGGCCCAGGUGUCCUGCAUUGGUGCAAGGAAUUCUGCAUGAGCUCCAAGAGCCACCAGCCAGGCUGAGGUCAAGUCUGACUCUGCAAAUGACUAGCAGUGUCAUCCUGGGUGAGUAACCUCCCCCUCUGCACCCCUGUCCCCAUCUGCCUGGUGGGCAUGAGCACACUGGCCUCACAGAGUGUCAUGAGCACUAAGUGGGGCAAAACUCCAGCAGAGAGCAAGUGCCUAGGGAACGCAGGCUGAUUCUCAGGCAUAAUCAAGGGGGCAGUUGGACUCCAGACAUCUCCAAGAUCCUAGGAUUUAAUUCCUUUGACUACAAGACCCCUGAGAAGAGGUAGGUGGGGGUGCAGGUCCUUGUAGAACUGGCUGCUCCCAUCUCUGUGCCUGUCGGUGUACCUGUAACCCUCAUUUACCCACCUGUUGCUCCAGGCAAGUGAGCAGUGUGAGUCCCAGGAGGUCAGGAAGGGUCUACACCACCAGUGUUCCCCGUACCCCCAGCACAGGAAGAUGAUGAGUCAGCCUUGAGGGUAGUGAGUUCCCUGUCCCUGGAAUUAAGAGAAUAGAAGUUAAACUCUUGGCAGGGAGUUGGACAAAGAAUUUCUACUUCGGGUAAGUCUAUAAUGGCCAGACCAGGGAAUGAUGGAGGGAGUGUCCUCUGGUCAUUCUUAGUGGUUUCCCCAGAAUUUCUGAGUAGGAAGAAUUUGAGACUUGUCUUGAAGCUGCAUUUGCAAAAUAAACCUGCUUUUCCUUAGAUUGUCUAUGUGGAAUGGGAAUCCCAGGGCUGCCGGUGACCGUCGGUGGCUGCGGGAAGCAUGUGCUUCUAGAUCGGCCACGAGGGGGCGCCCGAGACUGCAUUCUAGCGAUCCAGCUCCAAAGAGGGUCUGGGCAGAUCCUGGCCUGAGGUCUGAGAACAUGUCUGGGGACAGGAAGAGGGACUCAGAAUUGGAUAGCUGUGUGUGUGGGGCAGGGAGGAAGGGCCAUUCUGCUCCCCACAGAUCACAGGCCUGACAUUUUUUGGUGGCGGGUGAUGGGCACAAGGUGGAAAGUUUUCCUUUAAACAAUGAGUCCAGUUAUUGGAAAAAGU